ensembl:antisense
AACUACUUUCAACUUUUUGAGAGCUUAAAAUAAUUUAAGGGGCUGGAGAGAUGGCUCAGUAGUCAAGAGCAUUUGCUGCUCUUGCACAGGACCCAGGUUGGCUUCCAGCAUGCACAUGGCAGCUCACAAGCCUCUAUGGCUCAUUCUCGGGGCUGCAACGCCUUUUCCAACCUCUAUAGUCCCUGCGUCCACACGGUGCAAAAUACGCAUAUGCAGGCAAAACGCUCACACACAUAAAAACACAUUCUUUUAAAUAAUCUACGAAUGCACUUAUAAAGUCAUAAACAGACACACUAAAUAGAUAGAAUAUUUACACUGAUUUUUCCCAAAACAUGGCAAAGCCCAUUUUAUGCAACAUCAGAAAGCAGAACGUUGAGCUGGAACACUGCUACUGCCCCCAGCUGAACAGGUGACACCAUGUACACAUUUCUGACUGAAAGGUGCCAGUCGCAUGGUCACCAUGUUGCUGUGUCCCUCUGGGUCCUCUAUAGAAUUCACAGUACACCUUGCAGAGCUUUCCCGGGCUGUAAAUUAAACCCGUGCCAAAUGUUGCUUAACCUUUCCAUUAGACACAUAAAUAAUUAAAUAACUAUGCUUCAUUAACCAACUUUACAGUGCGUCAGUCACCCGAAGGUAUUGUUCAAACACAGACCACAGGGUCCCACCCUCAGACUUUAUGAUUCAGUUCAGUCUGGGGCGCAGCCAGCCACUGACAACAGUGGCUUGGAUAACUUCUUGCCCCUCCUGCACUGAGAGCUAGCUUAAAACGAAAGACAAAUGACUGAUGGGGACCCAGCCACAGCAGCAAAGAAAAAAAAAGUGGGUUCUCCACCUCCAAAUAUUUUCAAUCAAGAAAAGGCUUACGGGCUGUGAAGAUGACGGACAUGUGUGAAAUUUUCAAAGGAUACAAAAAAUAAAAUUUUUAAUCUUAAAAAAAAAAGGCAGAAACUGAAGACUGACUAUAUUUCACAAAUAAAUUAUCCAGGAGGUGAAAGGUCCCCUCUUUACUGACUCUAGAUCCUUCCAACAGCAAGCAAAGGUGUUGACAACUGUUCCUUGUCCAGCUAUGUGGCACAAGCAUGAGACCGUUACCUUUCUGAUUCCUUGUAAACAGUCAAGGACGGUGAGGUUGUAAGUGCAGUUUCCAAACGAUGCAUCCCUACAAGCACAAACAAACAACAUUAAAAACACGAAGCCGGAUCUUCAAAUGAUAGAACAUCAAGACAGUCGGGCCUGCCGGCCGGACUUGACGGCAGACAGAGGAGCCUGGGCCUUUAUUCAGAUUUGCACCCUUCACAUCGUGGGCACACACUUGAAUGAGUUCCUUUCCCUAUCUGAAUCUUGCUUUCCUUGAAUGUGAAAUGAAGUUAAUGACGGGGGCUAUCAUCCACAGGACUGGUUGUUAGAUGCCAUAAAAAUGAUGUAAGGUCUUCUGUGUAGUGCUUGGUACAGAAGAUGCACUUCAAUAGUAGUCUACCUGCUGUUACUGUUGGGGGCAGGGGGGUUGACGUAAUCUUUUCAUACAAUCCAAGCUGACCAGGAGUUACACUGUAGACCAGGCUGGGCUAUNNNNNNNNNNNNNNNNNNNNNNNNNNNNNNAAAAAAAAAAAAAAAAAAAAAAAGACUGUGGCAGGGGAGCAACCUCCUCUCAGGCACCGGUGAACCCAAGCCUGGAAAGGUGUGGCGCCAGAGGGUGAGGGUGUGGGGCAACAUCUACAGGCCAACAGAACCUUGUAGUUAUUUUAACACAUACACGCCGUCCCUCCACUGCAAAAGAGAAGAAACUCAGUAAAAUGUAGUAACAAUCCCCAAUUUACUGGGAUCAGUAAGAGUUCUGAAAAUAUUAGAAAGUGCUCUCAAAAGGACUAGGAACCAAAAUGAAAAUUUAUUUACUAUUAUGUAUUAUUAUUUGUAUGUAUGCCUGAGGCAUAUGCUGGGAAUUGAAUUUGGGUCUUCCACAAGAACAAUAUAUGUUCUUAACCACUGAGCCAUCCUCUCCAACCCAAAACAAGGUUUCUAGUUAAAAAUAAUGCUUAAAUCUACUGUACUGAAAAUUGAAGACUCCAGACUGUUUUGUAGAGCAGCUCAACUCGGGUCUGUUUCAGGCAACCUAAAACUAAAGUAUCAAGUUCCGGUCAGCUAAGCAAGAACUGGUCCUGGAGCUUUAACAGGAGCAAUGCUCCACAGUGUCCCCAGCAAGAAACUUGACCCUGAGUGUCUCAGUCCCUUAGCUGGGCCCCAGUGCUGACCCAAGAAAGAGAGCUGUCAAGUGCUGAGCCUGGCACAGUCAAACAUCCCAAACAAGGUUGGCUCAAGGGCAGCAUCCCGGGAUGGUGCCAAGAGAACCCUGCCUUUCACACAUAAUCAACAUGAAACCAAGUGUUGUAGCACCAGCUCUCCCAGGGAGCUCGAACCUUGGCUUCAAAGUCUCCUGGCUUCUAAGUCACGAGUUUAAAAAAAAAAAAAAACAAAACUCGUUUCACCACAGAGCUUC